rnacentral:rRNA from 1 species
CUUAGCCAUGCAGUCUCAGUACGAGCUGACUUAAAGUGAAACCGCAAAAGGCUCAGUAAACCGGUCAUAGUUUACCGGAUAUAUGCCACUCACGUGGAUAACUGUGGUAAUUCUAGAGCUAAUACAUGCAACCAAGUCCCGACCAGCGAUGGGAAGGACGCUUUUAUUGGAUCAAAACCAUUCGCCCGGCCCGCCCGGGCGUCUGCUUGAUGACUCUAGAUAACACCACAGAUCGCACGGUCACAGUACCGGCGACGUAUCCGUCAAAUGUCUGACUUAUCAGCUGUCGAUGGUAGACUCUGUGUCUACCAUGGCGCUCACGGGUGACGGGGAAUCAGGGUUCGAUUCCGGAGAGGGAGCCUGAGAAACGGCUACCACAUCCAAGGAAGGCAGCAGGCACGCAAAUUACCCACUCCCGGCACGGGGAGGUAGUGACAAAAAAUAACGAUACGGGACUCAUCCGAGGCCCCGUAAUCGGAAUGAGAACACCCUAAAUCCUUUAACGAGGAUCUAUUGGAGGGCAAGUCUGGUGCCAGCAGCCGCGGUAAUUCCAGCUCCAAUAGCGUAUAUUAAAGUUGUUGCGGUUAAAAAGCUCGUAGUUGGUUCUGCGUGCCACGCUGUCGGUUCACCGCCUGUCGGUGCAACUGGCAUGCCGUGGCAUGUCCUGUCGGUGGCCGACAGGCUUCGCGGCGCGCCCUGUGCGUUCACGCGUGCAGGUCGUCGCGCCUCGUCGUCCUUGUAGGCCGGCUCAAUCCUACCGCGGUGCUCUUUGCCGAGUGUCGAGGUAGGCCGACACUGUUUACUUUGAACAAAUUAGAGUGCUUCAAGCAGGCUCUGAAAGCAGCCUGAAUAGUGGUGCAUGGAAUAAUGGAACAGGACCUUGGUUCUAUUUUGUUGGUUUUCGGAAUCCAAGGUAAUGAUCAAUAACGACAGGCGGGGGCAUUCGUAUUGCGACGUUAGAGGUGAAUUCUUGGAUCGUCGCAGACGCACUAGAGCGAAAGCAUUUGCCAAGUAUGUCUU